UGGGGAAUAUUGGACAAUGGGCGAAAGCCUGAUCCAGCAAUGCCGCGUGAGUGAUGAAGGCCUUAGGGUUGUAAAGCUCUUUUACCAGGGAUGAUAAUGACAGUACCUGGAGAAUAAGCUCCGGCUAACUCCGUGCCAGCAGCCGCGGUAAUACGGAGGGAGCUAGCGUUGUUCGGAAUUACUGGGCGUAAAGCGUACGUAGGCGGUGACUCAAGUCAGAGGUGAAAGCCUGGAGCUCAACUCCAGAACUGCCUUUGAAACUAGGUCGCUAGAAUCACGGAGAGGUGAGUGGAAUUCCGAGUGUAGAGGUGAAAUUCGUAGAUAUUCGGAAGAACACCAGUGGCGAAGGCGGCUCACUGGAAGUGUAUUGACGCUGAGGUACGAAAGCGUGGGGAGCGAAACAGGAUUAGAUACCCCCGUAGUCCCUGAGCGGGCUGGCAAGGCGCAU
rnacentral:rRNA from 1 species